rnacentral:rRNA from 1 species
CCUACGGGAGGCAGCAGUGAGGAAUAUUGGUCAAUGGACGAGAGUCUGAACCAGCCAAGUAGCGUGAAGGAUGACUGCCCUAUGGGUUGUAAACUUCUUUUAUAUGGGAAUAAAAUGUUCCACGUGUGGGAUUUUGUAUGUACCAUAUGAAUAAGGAUCGGCUAACUCCGUGCCAGCAGCCGCGGUAAUACGGAGGAUCCGAGCGUUAUCCGGAUUUAUUGGGUUUAAAGGGAGCGUAGGUGGAUUGUUAAGUCAGUUGUGAAAGUUUGCGGCUCAACCGUAAAAUUGCAGUUGAAACUGGCAGUCUUGAGUACAGUAGAGGUGGGCGGAAUUCGUGGGGUAGCGGUGAAAGGCUUAGAUAUCACGAAGAACUCCGAUUGCGAAGGCAGCUCACUGGACUGCAACUGACACUGAGGCUCGAAAGUGUGGGUAUCAAACAGGAUUAGAUACCCUUGUAGUC